ACAUGAGUAACGACAAUGGGUGUGAAAAACACCCACGCCGAAAGACCAAGGGUUCCUGCGCAACGUUAAUCGACGCAGGGUUAGUCGGUUCCUAAGGCGAGGCUGAAAAGCGUGGUCGAUGGGAAACAGGUUAAUAUUCCUGUACUUCUGGUUACUGCGAUGGAGGGACGGAGAAGGCUAGGCCAGCUUGGCGUUGGUUGUCCAAGUUUAAGGUGGUAGGCUGAAAUCUUAGGUAAAUCCGGGGUUUCAAGGCCGAGAGCUGAUGACGAGUCGUCUUUUAGAUGACGAAGUGGUUGAUGCCAUGCUUCCAAGAAAAGCUUCUAAGCUUCAGGUAACCAGGGACCGUACCCCAAACCGACACAGGUGGUCGGGUAGAGAAUACCAAGGCGCUUGAGAGAACUCGGGUGAAGGAACUAGGCAAAAUGGCACCGUAACUUCGGGAGAAGGUGCGCCGGCUAGGGUGAAGGAUUUACUCCGUAAGCUCUGGCUGGUCGAAGAUACCAGGCCGCUGCGACUGUUUAUUAAAAACACAGCACUCUGCAAACACGAAAGUGGACGUAUAGGGUGUGACGCCUCCCCGGUGCCGGAAGGUUAAUUGAUGGGGUUAGCGCAAGCGAAGCUCUUGAUCGAAGCCCCGGUAAACGGCGGCCGUAACUAUAACGGUCCUAAGGUAGCGAAAUUCCUUGUCGGGUAAGUUCCGACCUGCACGAAUGGCGUAACGAUGGCGGCGCUGUCUCCACCCGAGACUCAGUGAAAUUGAAAUCGCUGUGAAGAUGCAGUGUAUCCGCGGCUAGACGGAAAGACCCCGUGAACCUUUACUGUAGCUUUGCACUGGACUUUGAGCCUGCUUGUGUAGGAUAGGUGGGAGGCUUUGAAGCGUGGACGCCAGUUCGCGUGGAGCCAUCCUUGAAAUACCACCCUGGCAUGCUUGAGGUUCUAACUCUGGUCCGUAAUCCGGAUCGAGGACAGUGUAUGGUGGGCAGUUUGACUGGGGCGGUCUCCUCCUAAAGAGUAACGGAGGAGUACGAAGGGGCGCUCAGACCGGUCGGAAAUCGGUCGCAGAGUAUAAAGGCAAAAGCGCGCUUGACUGCGAGACAGACACGUCGAGCAGGUACGAAAGUAGGUCUUAGUGAUCCGGUGGUUCUGUAUGGAAGGGCCAUCGCUCAACGGAUAAAAGGUACUCCGGGGAUAACAGGCUGAUACCGCCCAAGAGUUCAUAUCGACGGCGGUGUUUGGCACCUCGAUGUCGGCUCAUCACAUCCUGGGGCUGAAGCCGGUCCCAAGGGUAUGGCUGUUCGCCAUUUAAAGUGGUACGCGAGCUGGGUUUAGAACGUCGUGAGACAGUUCGGUCCCUAUCUGCCGUGGACGUUUGAGAUUUGAGAGGGGCUGCUCCUAGUACGAGAGGACCGGAGUGGACGAACCUCUGGUGUUCCGGUUGUCACGCCAGUGGCAUUGCCGGGUAGCUAUGUUCGGAAAAGAUAACCGCUGAAAGCAUCUAAGCGGGAAACUUGCCUCAAGAUGAGA
rnacentral:rRNA from 1 species